rnacentral:rRNA from 1 species
UACAGAGGUGCCAAGCGUUAGGCGGAAUCACUGGGCGUAAAGCGCACGUAGGCGGAUGUGUCAGUCAGGGGUGAAAUCCCGGAGCUCAACUUCGGAACUGCCUUUGAUACAGCACGUCUUGAGUCCGAUAGAGGUGGUGGAAUUCCUAGUGUAGAGGUGAAAUUCGUAGAUAUUAGGAAGAACACCGGUGGCGAAGGCGGCCCACUGGAUCGGUACUGACGCUGAGGUGCGAAAGCGUGGGGAGCAAACAG